AUUGAACGCUGGCGGCAUGCUUUACACAUGCAAGUCGAACGGCAGCACGGGGGCAACCCUGGUGGCGAGUGGCGAACGGGUGAGUAACACAUCGGAACGUGCCCAGUUGUGGGGGAUAACCUAUCGAAAGGUAGGCUAACACCGCAUGAGCUCGGCAAGAGGAAAGCGGGGGACUCAGCGAUGGGCCUCGCGCGACUGGAGCGGCCGAUGUCCGAUUAGCUAGNGGUGGGGUAAAGGCUUACCAAGGCGACGAUCGGUAGCUGGUCUGAGAGGAUGAUCAGCCACACUGGGACUGAGACACGGCCCAGACUCCUACGGGAGCAGCAGUGGGGAAUUUUGGACAAUGGGGGCAACCCUGAUCCAGCCAUGCCGCGUGAGUGAAGAAGGCCCUU
rnacentral:rRNA from 1 species